UAUUCAUAGGUGCUAGGGAUAUAUUUGGA
rnacentral:piRNA from 1 species